CUGCCAAGUCCCUCUUUGCAUUUCUAGUCUAGGCAAAACAACAUAGUUUGGGAGUUAAUGAAGUUGUCAGUACCUUCUGGACCCAUUGGGAGCCAAACUUAUUAUUUCCUGCAACAAGACUUUUAACACUGCCUACACUACUGUGCAAUUUAAUAAAGUUUGUUCUCAGAUGUUCUCAAAAUGACCUAAUAAGAAAUGUGUCUUCUUUGGUUUCUAGGAUGGCAGCCUCCUGUCCACACUACUCCAUUUCACUGGUCAGGGCUCUGAGGCUCUGGGACACAGCCUUGACUGGGUCAACUGCCAUGCAGAAAUUAAUAUUUCAAAUAGACUGUCAGAUCUUUAUGCUCUGAAGGGUUCUCAGAGCCUGGUGGCUCAGCAGCGUAUGUCUGCCUACAGCACGCCAAUGCCAAGCAUCGACAGAGAGAGGUCACCAAGCAUGAAGCUGCUGAAGCAGGCAACACUGGAAAUCUUGGAUACCUCUCGAUAGAUCAAGAAAUCAUUUGGAAGGAGCCAUGAAAUUCCAACAUAAAAGAAUUAGCCUUGCAAAAACCUCUUCUAUUUUACCUCAUAUAUUGUUCAACUCAUAACACUGGGAUAUCUUAGCCUACAGUGAGAACUCAUUUUUAUCUAAUACACAUAAUUAGGCCAAAUCAAUGGAUUACAGAUUAAACAAGCAGGGAAUUUAACUAUGACUGGAAGAACAUUAUGGAUCAGAAGUCCUAAUAAUAUAUGGCCAUCAUUUUAAAAUGCUGGUUAUUUAUUGAAAAUUUUAUCUUGAAGUGGCCUGCAAGAAACUAGCAGCUUUUAAGUUCUUACUAAUUUACUUCACUUGACAACAAAUAUUUAUUUACAUUAAUUUCACAUUUGGUCACAUAUUGAAUGGUUACUGAGCCCUGAGUUUUGCUUGUUUUAAAAUAAAACUGUUAGGUCCUUUGCUUGUUGUUAAAUAAAAAACCUAGAAAUCUGAAGUAGUUUUAUGAGUCUUACCUGUUUUUACCAAUUUUAAGCAUGUUUUCUACUGUCCAUUCUGAACCACUUACUUAGUGUUGUGUGGGAGAUUUUUCUCUUCUGAACAUGUUACCACUUCAUAUUUGCAUAGAACUGAAAUUUAUUUGACAAUGGUAUGGUCCUUCCUUUCUGUUAUAUCUCUAGUAUAGACAGAUUUGAAUAUCAGACCACUCUAUAGAUCUGCACCAUUUUCCUUUGUCUCUCUUUUAUUUUUCCUCUAUUUUAAAGACAAAGGAUCCUCUAAUGAAUUGAAUUUUUUUUAUUUAUUCUAGUUCACGCACCAGUAAAUCAAGAGAGCUACUUCUGAAUGCUGUGUCUAUACGAAAAAGAGUAGUUAUUUGUGGUUCUCCCCAGCUCUAACAUAUAUACAGUGGUACUAGCUAAAAAACUGAGGUGUUUUUUAGGCCUGUUUUUAAGUUUUACCUUGCCCACCAGAAUUCUGUUUGAUUCUUUGAUAUCUCGCUAAUUCAUCAAUAUAAGAUUUGCAUGCAUUCUACCAUCCUUCCUUUUGCAAAGUAAUUUGAAAACACAAGAGACAGGCUAUUUAGAGAAUCUG